rnacentral:lncRNA from 1 species
GGAUACAACAAGUUUAAAUUAGGCUUUUAAACAUAAUCAAUACGUAAAAAGUAUUCACUACAUAUGCUAACAAAUUAUGAUGUUUAUGUGGGUAGAAACAAUGCAUAUUUUCAUCAAUAAUCAUAGUAUUUGAAAAACAUUUAUAAGUGGUGUAUCACAUUACCUAGACUAGGUUAUCUGUGCAUAUACUUAGUCGAAACAACAAACACUCUAUAAGUCAUCUGAUCGUAUUUUGUGUUCAUAAGUCAUCUGAUCGUAUUUUGUGUUCAUAGUUUACAUCUGGGUAACUAUUUACUACACAAAAUGAUCAAUACUUAUAUAAACGUUAAUCUUUCAUUUCAAAAUCGCUUGUUUCUAACAUUCUUUAUCCUAAUUUUACUCUCAAUAUAAAAUAUUAUUUCACUAUACAAAUAAUGC